rnacentral:rRNA from 1 species
AGGACGAACGCUAGCGGCGUGCCUAAGGUAUGCAAGUCGAACGGCCCGCAAGGGUAGUGGCGAACGGUCGAGUAACACGUAGACAACCUGCCUCCAGGUGGGGGAUAACAGUCCGAAAGGGCUGCUAAUACCGCAUGUGGCACGGAGAGGCAUCUCUCCACUGCUAAAGGUUUACUGCCUGGAGAUGGGUCUGCGGCCUAUCAGGUAGUUGGUGGGGUAACGCCUACCAAGCCGACGACGGGUAGCGGGUCUGAGAGGAUGAUCCGCCGGACGGGGACUGAGACACGGCCCCGACUCCUUCGGGAGGCAGCAAUGAGGAAUCUUGCGCAAUGGGGGCAACCCUGACGCAGCGACGCCGCGUGGGUGAGGAAGUCCUUCGGGAUGUAAAGCCCUUUCUCGGGGACGAACGGACGGUACCGAGGAAGAAGCCCGGCUAACUACGCGCCAGCAGCCGC